UAUCAUUUUCCAUAACUACUAAUUUUAGAGUGUGAAACGGCCUAUGUAUCUAUCUGAGAGAGAGAGAGCUUGUGCACAUAUGUGUAUAUAUAAGGUUUAGACUGAGAAGUUUAUUAGCAAGGAGAUUUCUGCAGAAGAGGGGAGCAUUUUUCCUGCAUGCCAUCCAUGCCUGGAGAUGCCAGCAAUGUCACUGGAAAUUCUAGACAAAGACCAGACUCUGGUGACACAGUUUAGAGAAUGACUGCACCACCUGUGUCUGGAUCCAGCCCAUGGGGCAUUAGUGAAGAAACUGUGUGGAAUUUAAAACUAAGAGUGUCAACUUUGAAAAAUAUAAAAGAUUUUGAAGGAAAAGUCAAGAUCUCAGCUAUAAAUCCAUGAGAGCCUUCUGUAAAAGAUGAAGUCAAU
rnacentral:lncRNA from 1 species